GGGUGAUCCACCUCUUGUGGAAUAUUUUAUUAUUUCUCCUACUUGUUGGUGUACGUUUUUUUCAUUCACCGAAUAUUAGAAUAAAAUGUCAAGGACAUUCUACCCUCUCUUGAUCAAAAUCACUACGUAUGCCAAGAUUGCACAAGAAAGACCACACAGCGACUCCAAGGUUUAUAUAUGCGAACAAGCAACUUUGUGUUGGGUAGCUACCUUGGUUAUGUAUUGCUGAAAUACUAGGGGGACUUACGUAGAAUGGUUCACAAGUUUAGGACUUAGACAAAUUUAACAAUAAGUGGUCUUUUCUUCUCUUUUUGGAUUUUUUGGAUUUUGACUUUAUAAAAAAGGGUAAAAAAGAUAAGGGUUUAGAGGUUCUAUUCUACUCCUAGGAAACUUUAGAGACGGUAUUGACUAAGGCAAAGGGAAACCUCACUUUGGUUUGCCAAAUCAACUAGACAAAGCAGGGUGCAAUCUUCAAGGGGAAUGUGUUUGUAGUUUUCACGCCUAAAGUAAAUACCAUUGAUAUAGACUUAGACAUAAGUUAAGCAUCCACAUAAAAUAGAUCAGGGUAACUUUGCACGAUGAAUGAAAAUCAUCCACUCACCAAAAGUAUGAGCAAAUAACUUCAUCUUGAAUCAACACUUAUCAAAUCUCGCAUUCCAUUUAACAACUUAAAGUAAAUUCUAAUCUAUUGUGUUGAAGAAAUUGUAAACCAUGCCAAUCAUUCAAAUAAAAGAGAUUACAAGACCUAGAAGCACACAAGCAAUUUAUUAUCCAAAAUGACCUCUCGCAACAAUUUAUCAAAAAUCUCACACUCUCCAAAUGAGAGGAGGAAACCUUAUAUAGGCACACAAAAGUUUUGAACGACCGAUAUCAAACAGUGAUCAGGGGCCUAGAUUGAAAGAUCAAAACCCUAAUUAGGGUUUGUUACAACUAACUACCCCUCGACCAAUGAGAAAAUUACAUUUGAGAACACUUGUCCUUGCUAAAUAUAAGGCAAUAAUAAAAAUAGAAGGUUGUUGCAUUGUGAAGUGUGCCUUCGAGAAGCUUCUAUGGAUAAGUCAGGUUCAUUGAACCUGGACAUGCUAACUUGGAACAAUUUGAUUGGCUGGAAGAUGACGAGGCGCCACCUUAGCAUGUUGGAUGUCCUCUUUGAAUUCUCCUAUCUGUUUGGAAUACUCUUCUUGUCACCAUCUGAUUCUGAUUGGGAGCUUGUCUUUGACUCUCCAGGAGAUGAAAUCCUUCAAAAUUUAUUUAAUUUUUCCAUAUCUUCACCAAGUUUGAGGACCCUUCUUUCUUGAUAUUUUGAAAUUCUUUCAAGUGCCUUAUGGAAUAGUUUUUCCCAUAGCCAGCCAAAUUUUGGCCAUCUUUAUGCUCAGACGAAGCUUGCUUGUGGACCCGUUUUCAAUUCUAAAUUUGGCUUGAAACUCCAUUUGUGUUUUCCGCGAUAAUCCCGCCUUCAGCUGCCAUUUAUGAUCUGCAAAACCCAAAGAAAAUUAAGUUAAGAUUCUUACUUGAGUGCAAAUUUUGAAGGUUUGAUGGCAUAAUGAGUUCUGAUUUUGGUCCUUUAACUCCAAUUUCCCAACAUUUAAGUUUCAACAGGUUGCAAGCACUUAGGAAUUUAUUAAAGCUUUAGGAAAGCUUGAAAAGCUCAAUCUGAUUUGAGAAUUUGGGACUGGAAUUUGUCUUUGAUUAGUAACUUACUCCCAAAAUCUGUGAAAUAAAUGAAAAAUGAUGAGAAAAUUUGACCAAGUCGUGAAAAUCAGACUCAUUUUCCUUGAAAACUCCAUCCAAAAUUUGAAAACCAGAUUGAAAACUCAAUAAAUCUGCCUUGAAUACUCCUGUCACCUUUAGAAUUUAGGCAAGAAAUGAGAAGAAAGAAUGUUUGCUGUGAAAAUUUUCAUUUCUCCCUCUUGUAAAUGCCUUAGAAAAAUCUCUAAUCUGUUCUUGAAGCUCCGAAGAUGCCUUAGAAAACCUGAAAUGAUCUUUUCUUCAAGUGUCUUGCUCUCCAAACUCGAACUGUUGAAAUGAAUGAAUGACUCAAAGAGUUUCAUUUCUGCAUUUAGCAACACGAUUCAUCUUUCCCAAAUCGAACUUAUCUUUUUUCUAUUUUCAUCCCAUACAUUGAACUUAGACAUUCAAUAAAUGAUCUUGUUUCCUUGUCAAUUUCAGUUCAUUGAGAAAGUUUCUAUUUUUGAUUUUCAGUUGAGUUUAGCCCUUAGGAAAGUUUUGAUUUUGUUUUGAGUUCAAUAAGAAAGUUUAUAAUUCGAGUUUGAGUUCACAAAUCAAACUCUCUUUAAUUUCUUCCAAUUUUGAAACUUUCUAAAAACUCUUUCCUAGUUUGAACUUGAUCAAAUCUCUUUGAGAGCAAGGCAGAUUUCAUUCAAAUUUCUUUCCUUCUUGUUCACAGCAAAUUUAAAAUGUUUCUUUACUUAGGGCGGACUUGAAGAGGUUCAUUCUCUAUUAACUUGGGUGGACUUGGCAAGAUUUUUUUUCCCAAUGAGGGCUAACUUUAUGAAUUUCAUUCCUUUAGCCAAGUUGAUGAAGUGUCUUGUAGGGCGGACUUCAUUAACUCUUUGCACCUCUUUCUUAUUAUCUCCACACACUUCUAGACGGACUUAACUCUUUGCACCUCUUGUUUGCUGUCUUCCUAAACCUUUGGGUGGACUUGAUCACACCUUUGCACCAUGCCAAGUGGACCUCAUCAAAUGUCUUUUACAUGUGGGCGGACUUGGAAGAAGUUGUGCACCAUGUUCAAUCUUCUUCAAGGCGGACUUAGUCAUGUCUUUGCUCUUACCACAUGGCAGACUUGCUCAUGUCUUUGCACCUUUCUACAUGGGCAGACUUCAAGAGACUUGUGCACCAUAUCCAAUCAAGGGCGGAGUUCAUAGGACUUGUGCACCACAGCAUGGGCGAACUUCCUUGCUUCCAUGACCAAGCUAAGUCCCUUCCAAAGCGGACUUCAUGACAUUUAUGCACCAAGUGUGAGCGGACUUGAUCAAUCUUAUACACCAUGAGGGUGGACUUCAAGAGACCCUUGACCUUAUGAACCUCUUUGUUGGGCGAACUUGGAGAGAGAUGAUCUCCAUGAGAAUCAGAUUUGAAAUCUCCAUAACUUAUGCAUUUUAACUCGGAUCUUCUUGGAAUUUGAAAAUUUCACACCAUUCUACCCUUGAAUUCCCCUAGAUCCCUAAAAUUUAGGAACUUGGUUUUUUUGGAGAAAAUUUGAAUUUUGAGCGAAAUUCUCAAUCAUUUUCAAUAUAACUCUGAGCCAACAGUGCAAACCCUAGAUCCCCUUUCCAAAAAUAGAAAAAACAAGUAUCCCUAAAAAAUAGGAAAAACUUUCUAAAAAUAGCCAUUUCGGGGAUGUGCUUAAAGUGCCCAAAAUGGAACUUCCUAAAAAAAAGGAAAAAGUGAAAACAAAACUUUCCAAAAAUAGAAAGUUGUCCAAAUUAACCCAAAUUAAUUGCAAUCUUCAUCCUUUGGGCUUUCUAGGCACAUUGACAGUGUCUAGACUCUAUUCUGACCAUGAUUUGCACAGAUUGACUUGUGACUUCGAAAACUCGGACCUUUCAAAACUGACAAAAUUGGGCGCUGGGAAGGUUGCGAGGCUCUAACAAAAACCCUAAAAAGAAAAAGCAAGGAGGGUCCCCAUUUGCAAUGGGGCAAUGUGUGAAAAGGUCACAACACUACCUACCCCUACCUACCCUUGUUUCUCAUUGAGCCACAUGUCAUGAUUGUGUGCUCACAUAUCCAUAUGGCCUUGCCUUUAUAAGUAGGCUCAUCUUAUUUGUAUUGGUUAAUCCAGUUGAUUAUAUUUGCAUAUUGAUGAGAAUACAGUUCAUUCUUGUCAAACUACUGUCUCUCUUAUUUGUGCUAUUCAUUGUGCCCUUGAUCUUGGCAAAUUCUCACACUCAGUUUGGACUUAUAAUUGAGAAAAUAUUUUCCAUCAGUAAUAGGUUGUUAGAGGAAAUGAAUAUUAUCUCGGGGGUUAAUAAUUGAGAAGAGAAUUUACACAGGAAAGAAUCAAUUUUGAAAACCUUCCAAAGAGCUUCAAAAACUUUUAAGUCACGGCAUCCAUAUUUCAACAAUGAAUGGUAUUUCUGACAAGAGAUGUGCUCCUUUUGUAAUGUUUUUGUUUUUAAAAUUCAUCUUGUUGAGUUUCUUGUUUUAAAUUUGUUGUGAUACAGUUUGGAUUUCAUACUGCUAAAUCCAAUUUUCCCCCACCAUAGCUAGUUUUUUAUUGUAGCUAAAUAUGGAUUAUUCAAUGGGGUGUAUCCACACUGUAUCCAAUGCAGAUAUGUAUUUGAUACAGAUGAAUACAAAUUUAGAAAGUAAUGGAGGAGUAUCUGGUGGCAUAAAUUAAUAUGAUUGAAUAGUAAGUACAUUAUCCCUAGUUUCCUCUUGGCCACACAUUAGGCUCACCAAGUCUUCCAUGAGCAGUUAAAGUUGAGAUCAUAGUUUAAAGACUCGUGGACUCGCCAUAGACUCACGAGUCCAGUGGCUCCAUGAGUCGACUCAUGAAGGACUCGCGAGGCGAGUCCUGGCGAGUCUAUUUGAAAGACUCGCGUGAGUCAAAUACACAGACUCACGUGACUCAAUUAUGACGCCCAACAACGUUAAAAAGUGAUUUUUUUUUGCAUUUUUCUAUUCAUUUUCCUUUCUUUCUUGGUGAAAACAGGUUUGUAGUGUUUGAAGGAGGAGAGCAAAGAAGAUUAAAUCAGCCAAAGAGAUCUAGGUAAGGAUUUUUCCUCUUUUUUUUUUUUCAUUUCCAUGUUUUGAAGAUCCGUUAAAUCUUCAAAAACAAGGGGAUAUGCUGCCAAAUUUUUUUCUAUUUCCCUUCCUAACUUAUUUCCUUAUAUUUUUUUCUUGUUUUUGAAUGCUAUUUUUCCCAAAUGAUUCAUUAUCAUUUUUUUUUUGUUGAUUUUCUACAAAACCUUGCUGAUUUUUUUAUUUUUUCAUGUUAAAUCAGCAAUGGCAAGUUCAACUCCAAGGGCAACCCCAAGGCCAAGAAGACAAAAAGAUAAAGCAUGGAAAUAUGAGAUUCCUGGAAGCAAAAAGGGGGAAGUCACUUGCACCGAAUGUACAAAAUGGACAACGGGUGGAAUCAAUAGAUUAAAAUACCACCUUGCACAAAUAACUGGAUAUGGUGUGGAUGUAUGCCCCAAUACAACUCCUGAGCUUAUUAGAGAGAUGAAGGCCCUUCUUGCUGAGCAUGAUAUGCAAAAGGAUGAAAGGCAAAAAACAAAAGAAGCCAUGGCAGCUACAAUGAAUCCCAAAUUGUCCACUUUGGGUCCCAUUGGUCACACUCGUGGUCGUCAGUCACUUUCAUCUUUUGGUGACAAUGAGGGUGAGGCUAGUGCCACUCUUGUUAGAACAUACCUUAACUUUUUUGUACCAUGCAAUGUUCUAGGUGUACAACCUUCACUUGAAGGUACACGGUGGAAUAAAGAGAAGCAUGAACAAGCAAGAUAUCAACAUCAAACUUUUGGUUUUACAAUAAUAUACCUUUCAAUGUAGCGAACAAUGUGUAUUGGGAAGGUUUGGUUAAUGCAUUAACAAUUGCGGGUAAGGGGUUUAAGGCCCCAACAGGUUAUGACUUCAGUGGGCCAUUACUAGAGCAAGUUGUAAGAAAUACACAAGUUGUGGUUGUUGAUCAGAAAAGAUAUUGGAGGAGAAAAGGAUGUAGCAUUUUAUCUGAUGGAUGGACGGAUGGACGAAAUAGGACUUUUCUCAACUUCUUGGUGGCUUCAAAUGGUGCAAUGGUAUUCCUAAAGUUUGGUGAUGCCUCAAAUGAAAUAAAAAAUGCAGAGACUUUGUGUAAUCUAUUGGAUGGGGUGGUUCAGGAAGUUGGAGUUGAAAAUGUUGUCCAAAUUAUUAUGGACAACGCAAUUGCAUAUGUAUUUGCAGGUAGAAUGCUUAUGGAGAGGCAUCCUAUGAUUACAUGGAGUCCUUGUGCUGCACAUUCCUUGGACUUGAUGCUAGAGGACAUUGGGAAGAUUACAUGGGUGAAGAAGGUGGUUGAAGAUGCAAGAAGUGUCACCAAAUUCAUCUACAACCAUACUUGGGUGCUUGCUUUGAUGAAGAAACGCACAAAUGGCAAGGACCUUGUGACUUGGAGUGACACGAUUUGCUAGCCACUUCAUCACUUUGUAGAGCAUUCUUAGUGCCAUUCCUUAUCUUAAGUAGGUGUUUGCGUCUGAUGCUUGGUUGGGAUCUGCAUACUCCAAAAAACCUGAAGCAAAGAAGAUUGUAAGCAUUGUUUUUGAUGAAGGGUUCAACAAAAGUGGAGAGGAGUUGACUGCGGUAAGUAACAAACACAAAAGUAAACUUUAUACAAGAUAAUCUAUUUGCUCAUUUUAUUUUUUAGGGGUUAAUUUUUUAUUAAUUUAAAAUUUGUUUUCAUUUCUUUAGGUGGCAGAACCUUUGGUAAGGGAUCUUCGUAUGGUGGAUGGAGAGGGCAUGCCAAUGGGUUUCAUUUAUGAGGCCAUGGAUAGGGCCAAAGAGGCCAUUUCACAUUACUAUUUGUUGAUGUGUAUUUUGUACACGACCAAACAUAGAAUAAAAUACCCAGAGGUAUCUUAUCCUCUCUUGAGUAAAGUCUCCGAAUGCUGAAGAUAUCACAAAAAGGAUCAAUCGGAAGGACUUCAAGGUUAUGCUUUGUAGGAUCUCUACUCUCGGAUAAGUACUAGUGGUUGUUGUGUUUACUGUUUUUUCAAGGGGCCUUACGUACUUUCAAAGAAAGCUUGUUCGUGCAACUACCUUCCAAAUGAGGAAACAAGAUUCUCCUAGUACUAACAGAUUUUCAAAAAAGAUCAAAAGAUAAAGGUUUCGAGGAAGAGAUACUUAAACUAAUCCUAAGAGUGACUUAAUGAGGACUGGUCUUGAUAAGAUUUUACCAAUUUCAGUAUCGCCAAAGGAUUACAACUCACUGGAAUUGGUGCGAUCUUCUAAGGGGAUUCAACGAUUUUCAAAUCACCAAGGAGAUAGAUACUAUCAGGAAGAUACAUAUCAAUACUUCUAAUGAUGAUUGAACUCUUAAUCAAUCUUAAUGUUUCCAGUUGACCACACAAGGCGUUCUUACAAUCAGUAAGAAGCUAGUGGUUUGGAAUGUGAGUCUUAUCGAAGAUCAGGCACAACAUUCGUCCUUCAAACUUAAAAUUUAAAUGCUAUCUCUACUAAGAGUGAUUCAAGAAGAUAAACAACCAUGAAAAUAGCCACAAGGAUUGCAACAAAACACCAUAACUUCAAUAUUUCAUUGAUCUCAUAGCCAAAUAAACAACAAUUGUUCAACUUUCUCUCUUCACUACUCAAUUCUUUGCUACUAACAAAAUUAAAUUUGCUUCUCUCCAACUUUCUAACUUUUCUAACCUUUCUAACUUUUCUAACUUUUCUAAUCCUUCAAAAUGAAAUGAGUGAGGGCUUAUAUAGCAUCCUCAAAUACAAUGAACGGCCCGGAUCAAAAGAAGAUCGAUGGCUGAGAUUUUGACACCUAAACCCUAAUUAGGGUUUGUUACAAAAAAGUCCCCAUUUAGAUAAACGUUAUCAAUCCAUAGCCAAUAAGAAUUGGCAUAAAUAACGAGGAGACAUAGACCAAUAGGAAUUAAGUUGCCACAUCAUUUUAUAACAACUUUUCAUCUAGAACUUUGUUCCCUUUCCUAUGCUCUUUUCUAGCAUAUUCAAUGAAUCUGGACACAAUUCCCUCAAUCUCAGCAAUGGGAAUCUCAGGAAGAUUCUUCAUUCGUUCUUCCAAGUGAAGGACUUGAUCAAAAGCAGUGAGAAGAGUCGCCUCCCACCCAGGCUCAAGUUCUUUGGUCUUCUCAAUCAGGAACAUAGUAGCAUACAUCUGAUCUCGCUGCCUUUCUGUGACGAUGUUUUCCUCUUUGCAAAAGAUUAUUCUGAUCUUGUCUUCCAAUUCAUCGUUCUUCUAAUCCAUCUUGAUGAGAACCUGCCGAGUAGUGGAUCCACCGGUCCUGGGGGUCGUCAUUUGAUACCUACACAAAAGCUUAAAGUUAGGGUUUGAGCAUAAUACCUUAAGGCAUGGGAUUUAAGUCCUUUCAAGGAAAUAACUAAAUAUUAAUUUGACGAUAAUGUGAUAAAUCCUAGAAUUAUGAAUUUUCAAAUUAAUAUUAAUUGUGAAUUAAAAUCAGAUUGCACAAGACUUAGACUUUCAAAAGAUUGCUAUGGAAAAUCAAACUAAAUCUUGAAUAAACUUUCAAAAAUCUGAUUAUACAUACCUCUUCCUUGAUUUUUUAGCUAUCAACUUUUGAAAAAUGAAUAAAGGAAAAUGAGGAUUUGCUGGACAAGGAUGUUUGAUUUGAAUUUCUGGUCCUCUCUUUGAUGGCUUCAAUCUUCAAUUAACCUUCAAGCUUCCUCCAAAAUGUGGAAAUUAACCUUCAACCAGCUCUUCAAUCAAAAAUUCGCUUUCAAUCAACCUUCAAGAUCUGGAAAUUUGCCUUCAACUAGCAAGAAAUUCGCCUUCAACUUAGCUUUCAAGAUCUGGAAAUUUGCCUUGAAUCUGCUCAAUUUCGCACCACUAGGUCUGCUCCUCAAAUUCGCACAAGGGAAAAUAAAUGAAUGAUUUAAAAUUUCAAAAAAAACCUUCCCUUUAUAGGGCGCUCACCCCACUUUGCCCAUUAGGCCGACUUGGUAGAGGCUUAAAUAAAUUAAAAAAACCCCUCCACAAGCUUGGCCGACUUGAUAAAUAAAUAAAAUAAUAAAUCUUGGGCGCUAAAAUAUGAAUUUUUGAUUUUUUAAAUUAAUUUCAAAGCCUAAGGUUGAUUUUAUUUAUUUAUUUAAAGGCUUAGAAAAUUAAUUAAUCAAUUAAUAAGUGCCUCAACCCAUGCGAAUUUGUCUUAGCCCUCCAAAUGAGAUUUAAUUAGCAAAUUUAGUGAAGAGAUAUAAGCAAGCUUAGUGGAUGCUAAAGCUUGGUCAAGAUUUGAUGAAGGCUUAUUCUCCAUAGGCACUAGAAUGCUUAAGAUAUGAGAAAGGCUUAAAUUACUUCAAGAAGGCUUAUUUGAACUUUUCAUCUAGGCUUAUUCACUCCUCACAAUCUAGAUUUGCCAUCUUUCAUGUUCUUGUCAUCAUAAUUUUGCAACUUGCCUUUGACUUAGCCUAAACAAGGUGAAUAAUAGGUGUCUUCAAGGAUUUCGCCUUGGACCCUUUGGAAGGGUCAGGAGCGAUUUUCUUGAUUAGGCCUUAAAUACCUCAUUCUUUCACUUCAAAAUCCUCCGGAAGGUGAAUAUAUACUUGUUUUGGCCCAACAAAGCCUAGGAUUUCAACUUUUAGUCUUUCACAUGGGUAAAUUAGGUGAAAAUGGGAAUUUCGCUCUGGACCCUUUGGAAGGGUUAGGAGCGAAAUUCACCUUUUAGGUCAAAACUCACCUUUGCUUGAUCAUCAACCUUCUCUAAGGCAAUCUCCAGGGUCCAUUCACCUUGACCACUGACUUGGCUUAACAAUAUUUUGAAGGAAACACUGCAUUUUAGGAAUUUCGCUCUGGACCCUUUGGAAGGGUUAGGAGCGAAAUUCACUCUUUAGGCCUAAUUUCCAAUCUCCUUCACCUCAAUUCAUCUAAACUCCUUCAGUUUGAAUCCACUUCUCAACUUGGCAGUAUUGGUUUGAUUCUCACAAGGCCAAAAAGGUCAAAUUUGCUCAAAAACCUAGCCAGGGAUAGGACCUAUCCAGAAUUUCGCUCUGGACCCUUUGGAAGGGUCAGGAGCGAAAUUCCAAUUUGAGCUCAAAAUAUGCAUCUUUGAUGGUCAAAAAUCUUUCCAAGGAAUUCCAAAUAGCCUCUUUCAUCUUUGUUUAGGCCUAACUUUACUCAAGUCUUGAAGAAAAAGGUGGUUUUAGGGUUUUUCACUCUGGACCCUUUGGAAGGGUCAGGAGCGAAUUUCUUGCUUGUAGUUCACUUCUUCAUCAUUUCAACUUCAAUCCACCUCACAAGGCAAGGAAACACUUCUCUUCUCUCAUCCAACCCAAGUUUAACUUGAUUUUGCAAGGAAAAAUAGGUGAUUGAAGGAUUUUCGCCCUGGACCCUUUGGAAGGGUUAGGAGCAAAUUUCCUCCUUUGGCCUAAAAUUAUCACUUCUGGAGACAACAAUCAGCUCAAGGGUAAUCUCAAGGGCAUCUUUCACCUUGGCCUAGGCAUAGUUUAGCAUAAAUUUGAAAGGAAUAGGUAGAUUUUGGGAUUUUCGCUCUGGACCCUUUGGAAGGGUCAGGAGCGAAAAUCUUGUUUUAGGGCUAUUUCUCCAUCCUUUCAACUUCAAAUCACCUCCAAGACUUAGAACACCUUGCCUCACUCCUCUCUAGGUCAUAAAAAUCAAAAUCUUGACUUGAUUUGCAAGGAAAAAAGGGUGAUCUUAGGAAUUUCGCUCUGGACCCUUUGGAAGGGUCAGGAGCGAAAUUCUCAUUUUGGCUUCAAAAUUUGCAUUCUUGGUGACCAAAAUCCACUCUAAGGCAAUCCAAAUGACUUCUGUCACCCUUGUCCAAGUUUGACUUUGCUCAAAUUUUAGAAGAAAAGAUGGUUUAUUAGGAUUUUCGCUCUGGACCCUUUGGAAGGGUCAGGAGCGAAAAUCUCAUUCUAGGCUCAAUUCCUUCAUCUUAAAUGGUUUUUAGCAACUUAAAGUCACUCUCAGGGGCAACUCCUCCUUGAUUUUACCUUAGCCCACACUUGAUCUAGCACAAAAUUGAUAGCAAAGAGAGGGUUUUGAGAAAAUUCGCUCUGGACCCUUUGGAAGGGUUAGGAGCGAAAAUCUCAUUCUUGACCAAAAAUCAUCAUUCUUUCAACUUGAAACUUCAUUGCAAGGUAGAAUCUCAUCUUUUAUCGCCCUAGGAACAAGGUUUUAAGCCCAGGAAAGGUCAAAAAGUAGGCUUGUAAGGGAUUUUGCUCUGGACCCUUUGGAAGGGUCAGGAGCGAAAUUUCCUUUCCUGGCUAAAAUCCUUCACUUUCAUAACUACCAAACACUCCCAAAGGCUAGAUCAUGUUCAUUCUCCUUCUCAUCAUGCCUUGGACAUCAAAUUUUAGCCAAACAAGGAAAGAAAUGCAUCUUAGGAAGAUUUUCGCUCUGGACCCUUUGGAAGGGUCAGGAGCGAAAAUCUUGAUUUAGGCUAAAUUAUUCAUUUUUCCAAUUCAAAACAACUUCAAGAGGCAAAGACAAGCUAUCUCACUUCCAUCCACGCCAUAAAAGACCAAGGAUUUGACCUCCUUUCUAUGGAAAAUAGGUGUUUUUAGGAAUUUCGCUCUGGACCCUUUGGAAGGGUCAGGAGCGAAAUUCACCCUUUUGGUCCAAAAUCCUUCACACUUCAAUGCUUUUAAACAUUCCAAAGGCCACAAGAUAUCCAUCCUUCCUUUCAAGAUACCCUGCAAAUCAAAAUUUAGUCAAACUUAGGAGGAAAUGAGCUUCAAGAGGAUUUUCGCUCUGGAUCCUUUGGAAGGGUCAGGAGCGAAAACUUCAUUCUAGGCUAGAUUACUCAGUUUUCAAACUUCAAACCACCUCAAGAAGCAAAAUUAGAUCAUUUUCCACCUAAGGAACAAGGUUUCAAGUCCAUUCAAGGCAACAAAUGAGGUUUAUGAUGAAUUUCGCUCUGGACCCUUUGGAAGGGUCAGGAGCAAAAAUUUCAUUUAGGCCAAAAUCUUGUUCUUCAAAAAAUCCACCAACUCUAUCUCAAGGCAAGAUCAAACCAAUUCAUCUUCAAACAUGCCCUAGAAACCAACACUUAGCCAAAAUUGAGAAGAAAAUGUGAGCUACAAAGAUUUUCGCUCUGGACCCUUCAGAAGGGUCAGGAGCGAAAAUCAAGAUUUGAGCUUGAUUCUUGACCUUUUGAACUCCAAUUCUCUUUGAGAGGCAAACAUAGACCCUUCUUCACGCAUUCCCAUCAAGAUCCUGACUUUAGCCAAGGAAAAAUGAGAGCUUUCAAGAAUUUCGCUCUGGACCCUUUGGAAGGGUCAGGAGCGAAAUUCAUCCUCUUGACUAAAAUCCUUCAUCUCAUCCAUCAUCAAUCACUCCCUAGGGCUAGAAUGUAUCAAAUUGCCCUUACUAUGCCUAAGGAAGCUAUAAUCCUGGCCUCGACAAGUGAGAAUUUGAUGCUUAAGGGGAUUUUCGCUCUUGACCCUUUGGAGGGGUUAGGAGCGAAAUCCCUAUUCUUGGCUAGUUUCUCACCUUGGUUUAUCUCAUUUCCCUCCAAAUUUGAUCAAAUCAACUUCCUUGUUUCACAAUCAAGACAAUUCCUCAUCCAACUUGGUCUAGGCAAAGUCCAACUGGGUUUUCAGGGCCAAAGGAAGGCAAGAAAGGGAGAUUUCGCUCUGGACCCUUUGGAGGGGUCAGGAGCGAAAAUCUUCUCCUAGACUGGCUUUCAUCAUUUCAAAGUCUAAAAACUCUCCUUCAAGGCAAAAAAAUGUAUCAACUUUCUCAAUUACGCCUCAAAAGUCAACAACCUUGGUCAUAUCUUUCCAAAACUCCUUCAGUCAUCAUCAAGUGCAUUUGUUCAUUAGUUUCUAAAAUCACCACUUUCAUCUCUCUCUGACCACUGACUCUGCUCAAUCGACUCAGACCUGGAGGAAAACAGGACUCUGACAAGGAAACCAUCAAUCCAGACCUAUCUGACCUAAGACCUAUUGACCCUCUUCCUUGAUCUAACCACCUUGAUUCACAACUAACGACCUCCCAAAACUAGGCUAGACUCAACUUGAAAGAAACUCUAAUACGAGCUUUCAGAGAUAAACCCUAAUCUAGCUAACCCAGGCGACCACUCACUCACUCCGAACCUAGCAAGCAGAGAGAAAACCUAACUAAGGGAAAGCAAAAACCCAAGAAAAAGAGGGGGUCCCCAUUCUAAUGGGGCGAGGUGUGAAAUGGUCACAACACUAUUGUGGAAAUACAAGAAAAUGUGAAAUCUUUUAGCGCAUCAUUGAUCGUAGGUGGACAAACCAACUCCACCAACCGAUACAUGCCUUCGCCUACUUCUUGAACCCGAAGUUCUACUUCUCCGAUUCAUUUAGGGCUGAUGAGGAGGUCAUGGCAGGUGUUAUUGCAUGCUGUGAUAAGAUGACACUUGAUUCUGAGUUGAAAGACAAGGUUCUUGAUGAGUUGGAGAUCUACAAGAGUGCAAAGGGGAGACUCUUUCUCAUCACAACUAGCAAUUGAUAGGAGAGGAAAACAACCAGAUUUAUGGUGGGAAAAUUAUGGUGCUGGCACGCCUAAUCUUCAAAAGAUAGCCGUUCGUGUUUUGUCUCAGCCAUGCAGUGCUUCUAGGUGUGAAUGAAAUUGGAGUGUAUUUAAGAGAAUUCACACAAAGAAGAGAAAUAGAUUGACACAAAAGCGGCCCAAUGAUCUUGUCUUUGUUCGAUACAACCUUCGCCUUCGAGUUAGAAAGGUGGAGGGCAUUUCACAUGAGGCUAUUGAUUUGGAUGAAAUUGAUCCAUAUGGUGAUUGGACCGUGAAUGAACAAAAUGAUGGUGAUGAUGUUCUCCUUACCGAAGAACUUGUAGAAAUAGAGAGAGGAGCAUCACAAGAAGUAGGAGGAAGAUUGGAGGAAAUGGAGGAUGAAGAUGAGGACUUUCAUUUAGAAGAAGAAUCAUCUCACCAUUUAGAUACCACAACAUCCACUUCUACUACUUCUAGCUCAAGGCCUGAAAAAUUGAGCUAUAUUAGGAGAAGUGCAAAGAGGAAGAUGUAGUCUUCUAUUUAGUUUGUUUAUUGUUGUUUUUCACAUUUGGAGUUGGACAUAUCAUUAUAUGUAAUUUUGUAAACAUUUAUAAACUUAUGCUGCUAUUAAACAUUUCAGAAUUUGAAACUAUGAGUAAUGAGUUCAUUCUAUGAGUAUGAAUGAUGAAAUUUCAAAUAUUGAGUGUUUGGAGAUCAUGUGACAUGUGUAAUGUUUAAAUUAUGGCUCUUAUGUUCUCUAAAUGCAUUAAUUUCUUUAUGUUUUUUUGUAAAGCUACAUUUUAUUUUUUUGCUGAGUCCUUGCCGAGUCUUUCGCGAGUCCGAGUCCGAGUCCAAUUUUUUGGUUUGCCAAGUCCAUGGCAAGUCCAAGUUUUAAAACUUUGGUUGAGAUAAAUCUUGUAUCUGUAUGGUGUAGAUGGCCAGGCUAUUCAUUUGAUAAAAUAAUUAGUGUUUAGUUUAUAGGCUAUUUUACAAGAAAAAAUUCUUAAGUUUUCCUGCACACCUUCUACCCCAUGCAUUUUGGGUACAUGGGGAUAGCCAAGAAACAUUCUCUGUGAUGUCCCUGAUUUUUGAAACAUCCCUGAAAUACAUCCUGGGGAUGUCUAGCAGUCUCUGAGAUGGUUGGCGACAUUGCUCUACCAUUCCAUGAUGGCUAGAUACACCAUGUCAUUUAAAUCAACAAAAUUACAAAUUAAAAGGAAAUAAAACAGAAAAAUAGAAAAUAGUGUUGUGGGGAGUCCACAAGGCCUCUGCAUUUCUUUUGAAACCUUUACUUCCUUGCCCGUAAAACACCAUUCAUUUUCAUUUCACAACCUCCAUUUUUAUUUGUGAAUCGCACCAGUUGUGGAGGAAAAGAAGAGAAGAAAGGAGAGGAGCACUAGCAAUUGGAUUUGUGGUAGUGAGGAAUUCCAGUUGCUGGGUUUUUUUUGCAUUUUUAUUGCACAUUUUGCAACCUUUGGGCCUUUCCCAUUAUAUAUUUAUAAUGAAAAGAAAGAAAUUUUUAGUUUUCAUUUAGAACCAUACUUGAAUUAUUGAAUCGUGAUGCAUCAUGUCUGACUUUUUUUGAAAUAGUUGGCUUUGUUUAAAGUUUUGAACUCUAAUGUUUGUUUUUCAAUAGAAUAUAUUUUCCCUGUUUCCUAUGCUGUUAUCCAAUGCCAUUGUUUUCUUGCAUCCUUGAACCAGAAACACAAUGGAACACAGCGUAGAAGUGAUCACUAAUUCAUGUGAAUUUGGAAGAAGAUUGUCAAUUUAGGUGCAUUUAUACAUAGUAUUGGUGAAUGGUUUGGAUAAAAAUAUAAGCUGAAAAUUUCAAGUCUAGCAAAAUAUUGUAAAAAUAUAACCAAUUUGCAAAAGAAUAACACAUUAAAUUGUGUCUACUUGCUUGAAUGUUCCAUGAGAAUGUUUUUUCUUGUAGUAUUCAUAUUUCUAGGAAGAGGAAAAUCAAUUUCUUCUGGCAUUCACAUUUCUAGGGAAUAUAAAAUGUUUUGCCUUGUAAUGUUCACAUUUCUAGGUAUUCAAAACACAAGUUGCUUUCACUUGGAAAUUAUGUUAGACACAAAAGUUAAUUGACUUGGCAAGAACAAUAAAACUGACAGAAGAAAUAUUCAAAUCGAAGUAACUGCAGAUUAUUGUUGUGAUUUGAUGUUUCUUUCUUUAUUAUUACU